UCCGUAUCCAUUUAUCUUCGCAAAGAAGUAAUCCGUUCUCUUCGGACGGGAGGAAUAAACCCGGACACUGACCGAAUACAAAACGUCCCACGCGAAGUCUUCGAACCUCGUCCAAUCCGAAAUCCUCGUUACCAGGUGGUGGAUUAUCCGGAGCCAACAGAUUGCGUUUUCAGAGCCUUAGAUCUCCAGUUCAUUAAGAGACGAGCACUAAAGCUUCAACAUCCACUUGGCAUGAAUGGAAAUGUUUAAUUGUGAGGCAUUAAGACUUUAUUUAGUUGCCCUACAGUUCGAGUUCGAGUUCUGCACAUACAUUGACAUGCUUCUUGCUGAAUAUGUAUUAAAUUAAGGGACAUGGUUAAAAAGUUUAAUUGGAUGAUCAGGGCAAAUUGUACUUAUUUUGUCUUAUGGGAAACAUGUAAAAAUUACUUAUGUAGCUUCUGAAGGGCAGUAUUAAAUGAAAAAAAUAUGAUAUUCAAAUUUACACACCCUUGUGUUUCCUUCUCUGUGAACAUUUGUGAAUGUUUUCAUCUUUUGCAGUAGUUGUGUGCGAGUCCCUCAGUUGUACUCAUGGUCAAAGAUGGAUCUCAAAAUCCAAUCUCAAAAUGCAUAUUUAAAACAUUUUUGGAAAUUAUUCAAAUAUGGCGAUGCUAGAAAACCAAAGAAUGUGUCGGACUUAGAGAAUUUUUCUGAUGUGGGGAGUUUAACUGCUCAGGACAAACAAGGGACUAUUACAAAACUUUUAAAAUCAAUGAUCAUCCUGGUAAAAACAUUAUAGUAUUGUGAUUCAAGGGUAUGUAUACAUUUAAACUGGUGCUUUUGUGCAAUUUCAGUUAUUAUUUUGUCUAUUUGGACUAUAUGUAAACAUCUGUUACAUACAAUGUAUUCAGGACAGACAGGCUUAUUCAGGACAGUACUAAAUUUGUAAAAUAAAUAAAUAAAUAAAUAAAAAUGCA